rnacentral:rRNA from 1 species
UGGGGAAUAUUGGACAAUGGGCGCAAGCCUGAUCCAGCCAUGCCGCGUGGAUGAUGAAGGCCUUAGGGUUGUAAAGUCCUUUCGGCGGGGAAGAUAAUGACGGUACCCGCAGAAGAAGCCCCGGCUAACUUCGUGCCAGCAGCCGCGGUAAUACGAAGGGGGCUAGCGUUGCUCGGAAUCACUGGGCGUAAAGCGCACGUAGGCGGCUUUUAAGUCAGGGGUGAAAUCCUGGAGCUCAACUCCAGAACUGCCUUUGAUACUGAGAAGCUUGAGUCCGGGAGAGGUGAGUGGAACUGCGAGUGUAGAGGUGAAAUUCGUAGAUAUUCGCAAGAACACCAGUGGCGAAGGCGGCUCACUGGCCCCGGUACUGACGCUGAGGUGCGAAAGCGUGGGGAGCAAACAGGAUUAGAUACCCGCGUAGUCCCUGAGCGGGCUGGCAAGGCGCAU